rnacentral:rRNA from 1 species
AACGCGAAGAACCUUACCUGGGCUUGAACUACUGGUGGUAAGCCUUUGGAAACAGAGGCUGACCCGCAAGGGAGCCAGCAGAGGUGCUGCAUGGUUGUCGUCAGCUCGUGUCGUGAGAUGUUGGGUUAAGUCCCGCAACGAGCGCAACCCCUAUCUCAUGUUGCAACCUGCGAAAGCAGGGCACUCUUGAGAAACUGCCUUCGAUAAGAAGGAGGAAGGUGGGGACGACGUCAAAUCCUCAUGGCCCUUAUGUCCAGGGCUACACACGUGCUACAAUGGCCGGUACAACGGGAAGCAAUACCGUAAGGUGGAGCCAAACCCUGAAAGCCGGCCCCAGUUCAGAUUGUGGGCUGCAACUCGCCCACAUGAAGGCGGAAUCGCUAGUAAUCGCGAAUCAGCAGGUCGCGGUGAAUACGUUCCCGGGCCUUGUACACACCGACGCGUA